AAAAGGGACAUAUCGGAGAGCUGCGGAGGAUUUCAAAACAGCUCUUCUCCAGGAAUCACGUCUCUGGAUUCAUCAUUGCAUUGCGGUUUUCCUUGGUGGCAGUGAACAAAGUGUUCUACUGUGGAGCCGUUUUCGCAGUCGCAGACACUGUGUCUGUACAGGGAGUUCCUGUCCCUGGCCCAAACCCGCAGACCAACAGCAAAGAAGGACAAGGUCAACCGUUGCCUCGGCUUUCUUUUGGCAUUAUUGCAGAGGAGCUUCACCUCACACUCGUGGAGUAUUCCUCCAGGCCUGAUGUCAGUAGAUUUAAUCUGCUCUAUAGGUUUCACUUCUGACAGUAACUGCUAUUGUAAGUUAAAAC
rnacentral:lncRNA from 1 species